GGCUAGUGUUCUCCACAGUUACAUCAACAUUUUUCCUACCUCCAACCAUUUCAAGCAACAAUAUUCCAAAACUAUAAACAUCUGAUUUGUAAGACACGCUCCCAAAGUUCCUAGAGAACACUUCGGGUGCAAUGUAACCCAUGGUCCCCCUAGCUGUGGUCAUGGACACUGCACUUUGAUCUUUUGCACACAACUUGGCUAGACCAAAAUCAGAAAUUUUUGGGUUGAAAU